UACACUCCUACGGGAGGCAGCAGUGGGGAAUUUUGGACAAUGGGCGAAAGCCUGAUCCAGCAAUGCCGCGUGCAGGAUGAAGGCCUUCGGGUUGAAAACUGCUUUUGUACGGAACGAAAAAGCUCCUUCUAAUACAGGGGGCCCAUGACGGUACCGUAAGAAUAAGCACCGGCUAACUACGUGCCAGCAGCCGCGGUAAUACGUAGGGUGCGAGCGUUAAUCGGAAUUACUGGGCGUAAAGCGUGCGCAGGCGGUUAUGUAAGACAGAUGUGAAAUCCCCGGGCUCAACCUGGGAACUGCAUUGGUGACUGCAUGGCUAGAGUACGGUAGAGGGGGAUGGAAUUCCGCGUGUAGCAGUGAAAUGCGUAGAUAUGCGGAGGAACACCGAUGGCGAAGGCAAUCCCCUGGACCUGUACUGACGCUCAUGCACGAAAGCGUGGGGAGCAAACAGGAUUAGAAACCCGGGUAGUCCCAUGAU
rnacentral:rRNA from 1 species